CCAUUUAACCAAAGUGACUUGUAAUGCACACAGGUGUACAGAUGCAGUUCAACAAGGAGACACGGAGGUUAAAUGCCUGACUCGACAGCUACCAGCUACUAUGCUUUCUUGGGAAUACUUCAGUGUUUCGUGGAAAAGGUCGACGCUGGAGGGUUGGAGCUCAUCAUCGGUACUUCUCUCUUCACCACAGGGCUCUUUGGGAUAUGACCGAAUGCUCGUCCCGUUUAGAGGGCAUCGUUUCUGCUGAGCACGGGAGAAAACGGGAAAAUGAUACUACAAUCCACCUGUGAAUCUCAUCUCAGCCAAUUACCAUCCACAUAAGCAUCAGCUGGGAGCUGGAAUGGCUGGAAUAUGAAAAUGCAGGAACUCAGUUCUGCCCUGGUGUUAUGAAGUAAAAUGUCAGCGACUCAAAUGGGAUUCGGGCUUCAUGAUCUUGUUGCAUUAAAGAGAGUCACAUCUCCUGCUGCUACUGACCCCGUCUGACAAGGAAACUAACCGUGACUUACAUCGUCAAAAGGAUGAAUUAUCUUAUCACAGUCAAAGUGUCUUUGAAAGUUAGAGGUGCUGAACUAUCCUGUCUAUUUAUAUCUCUGAGCUACACGCAGAAUAAUUAUUCUGUGCAGCCAGUUAAAUAUUAUUUAUACGCAGAGCAUUUUUUAGGAGUUGAUUUAAAAAUGUUGUAGAAAUGGAUUUCUUUAAUCAAACAUGCACAUCACUGCAUAAGCAUUGACUGCUCAGCUGCCAAAACAAAUGAUCUCAUCAUCAAUGCCAGAUUUUGCACAGCCAUAUUGGACUGGAACGACUGACGCUUUGAACGCCACACUUAGUGCACAUGUUCUGUGG